UGGGGAAUAUUGGACAAUGGGGGCAACCCUGAUCCAGCAAUGCCGCGUGUGUGAAGAAGGUCUUCGGAUUGUAAAGCACUUUCGACGGGGACGAUGAUGACGGUACCCGUAGAAGAAGCCCCGGCUAACUUCGUGCCAGCAGCCGCGGUAAUACGAAGGGGGCUAGCGUUGCUCGGAAUGACUGGGCGUAAAGGGCGUGUAGGCGGUUUACACAGUCAGAUGUGAAAUCCCCGGGCUUAACCUGGGAGCUGCAUUUGAUACGUGUAGACUAGAGUGUGAGAGAGGGUUUGUGGAAUUCCCAGUGUAGAGGUGAAAUUCGUAGAUAUU
rnacentral:rRNA from 1 species